AUUUAAUUUGGCUUUGGUUAUAAUAUAAGUUGUUACUAGGUCCAUACAUGUUAGGUUUAUUAUAACACGUUUUGUCUAAUGUUACUUGUUAAUAAUAACGUUUAAAAUAUUAUUAGUAAUAGUUAAUAUUGUUAAUGGUUCAUUAAAAUAGUGGAGAUAGGCUACGCAGUAUUUAUAUUUAUACAAUGAGUGAGAGCUUGAUAUAGCUAGUGUAUUUAAAAGUGGUUGAAUUGGUGCCAGCAGCUGCGGUUAUACCAAUAACUUUUAAUUUAUAUAUAUAUAGUAUAAAAUAAAGUAUUAAGUUUGAUAAAAUUAGAAUAGGUGAGAUUAACAAUUGUAGGUAAAAUUUAAUUGUUUUUAUUAAUUAAAUUAUUCUAUUUUAAAUUCUUUGAAAAUAAGGUGCAAAUAAACUAGGAUUAGAGACCCUACUAUUCUUUAUUUUAAAAAUUUUUAUUACUUAGGAAGUACGAACAUGAAUAUUAUUUUUUAAUUUCUUAUGUGUGUUUAAAACUUAAAAGGCUUGGCGGUGUUAUAUAUCCUUCCAGGGGAGCUUGCUUGUUAAUUUGAUAAUCCUCAAUUUAUACUUACUUCUUUUUGAAUAGAACAGUUUGUGUAUUGCUGUCGUCAGUUUAUUUUGUAAAAAUACUAGAAAAAACUUAAUAACGCGCAGGUUGUAAUGUCAAGUCAAAAUGCAGCUAAUGAAGAAGGCUUAAGUGAGCUACAAUUUGUAAUUUUUAAUCUGAUUAAGUCAUGUAAUUGAUUUAUGAAGUUGGACUUGGUAGUAAUAAAAAUGCUUAAAUAGUGAGUUUUUGUGAAUUGGGUUUUAUAAUGCGUACAUAUCGCCCGUCGCUCUUGUUGGAAAAUAAGAUAAGUCGUAACAUAGUAGGAGUAGUGGAAGCUGUUCCUGGAAUGAU
rnacentral:ncRNA from 1 species